CAGCUCGAGUGUUGAUUUUGAAAUGAUGGAAUAAUGCACGAACUGCUGUGUGUAUGGCCGUAGAAGAGAAGUGGAUGAGCAACGCUAAUGAGAAGGAAAAACUUGCCACAGAACUUUUUUGAAAUCGUGUUAACUAUGUUAUUUGCAAUUGUAUACGCCGGAAAUUUUGGAGAGAAGUGAAAUUUAUUUGAUUUAGGAUUUUUUUGAAAUCGUACAAAUCCGUUAUUUGCAAUUUGAUCCACCUGGAAUUUUGGGGGAACGUGGAUCGCACACCUGUCUCUAGAAUAAACAAAAAACACCUUUGUGGUAAAAAUCAAGUUAGGUCCUUUUUGUAUUAAGCCAUCGAUAUGAGUGUUUGUGUGUCAUAUGCAGUAUGUGUUUGUGUUAUAAUGAACGACGAACGAAUGGCAGCGGGCUUCGGCUUAAAAAAGAUACAUAUAUCUUAUUAUUUGGGAAAGUUAUCUAGUUUUCAAAUGUAGAUAAAAGGGGAAAAAUAAAACUUUAAUUAAGUUUUAAGUAUUUAAUGAC
rnacentral:sRNA from 1 species